AUUAAGUUUAUUUUUCAGUUUUAGAUACAAUGUUUUGACUCUUCGUCUUAUUUGAAUUUUCUUUAUGAUUAAUAUUUUUAUUGUUACUAGAUGCUAAAACAUGAAUAGUAACUUUAUGUGUGACUAAUUUUUUUAAAGUUUUUUACAAAUUUUUUAAAUAAGGCAAAAUGGUCAAACGGUUCGAAAAAUAAAG
rnacentral:pre_miRNA from 1 species